rnacentral:rRNA from 1 species
AGCGAACGCUGGCGGCAGGCCUAACACAUGCAAGUCGAACGAACUCUUCGGAGUUAGUGGCGGACGGGUGUGUAACACGUGGGAACGUGCCUUUAGUUUCGGUAUAACUCAGGGACACUUGUGCUAAUACCGAAUGUGCCCUUCGGGGGAAAGAUUUAUCGCCUUUAGAGCGGCCCGCGUCUGAUUAGCUAGUUGGUGAGGUAAAGGCUCACCAAGGCGAGAAUCAGUAUCUGUUCUGAGAGGACGAUCAGCCACAUUGGGGCUGAGACACGGCCCAGACUCCUACGCGAAGCAGAGGUGGGGAAUAUUGGACAAUAGGGGCAAAACUGAGCCACCGCUGUCGCGUGAGAGAUGAAAGGGUUUGGGUUGUAAAGAUUUUUUGGCCCGGAGGCUGAUGACGGUACCCGCAGAAAAAACCCCGGCUCACUUCGUG